UAUAUCUUGAUGUAUGGUGCAUAUAAAAUUUUGAGUUUUAUUGAUUUAGUUCGAGUCUAGUAGAUAUAA
rnacentral:tRNA from 1 species